rnacentral:rRNA from 1 species
ACACAUGCAAGUCGAACGGAAAGGCCCUGCUUGCAGGGUACUCGAGUGGCGAACGGGUGAGUAACACGUGGGUGAUCUGCCCUGUACUUUGGGAUAAGCCUGGGAAACUGGGUCUAAUACCGGAUAUGACCACUUCUUGGAUGGGGUGGUGGAAAGCUUUUGCGGUAUGGGAUGAGCUCGCGGCCUAUCAGCUUGUUGGUGGGGUAAUGGCCUACCAAGGCGUCGACGGGUAGCCGGCCUGAGAGGGUGUACGGCCACAUUGGGACUGAGAUACGGCCCAGACUCCUACGGGAGGCAGCAGUGGGGAAUAUUGCACAAUGGGCGCAAGCCUGAUGCAGCGACGCCGCGUGGGGGAUGACGGCCUUCGGGUUGUAAACUCCUUUCGCAACCGACGAAGCUUUUGUGACGGUAGGUUGAGAAGAAGCACCGGCUAACUACGUGCCAGCAGCCGCGGUAAU